rnacentral:rRNA from 1 species
UACAGAGGUCCCAACCGUUGUUCGGAUUCAUUGGGCGUAAAGGGUGCGUAGGCGGCGGGGCAAGUCAGGUGUGAAAUCUCGGGGCUCAACCCCGAAACUGCACUUGAUACUGCCUUGCUCGAGUACUGGAGAGGAGACUGGAAUUUACGGUGUAGCAGUGAAAUGCGUAGAUAUCGUAAGGAAGACCAGUGGCGAAGGCGAGUCUCUGGACAGUUACUGACGCUGAGGCACGAAGGCCAGGGGAGCAAACGGG